CCCGAGGUCCGGGCCCCUCUGACGGCGUCAGCCGCCAUGUCGGUCCUCUCCC
rfam:Pseudoxanthobacter soli DSM 19599 genome assembly, contig: EJ95DRAFT_scaffold00004.4